rnacentral:rRNA from 1 species
UACGGAGGAUCCGAGCGUUAUCCGGAUUUAUUGGGUUUAAAGGGUGCGUAGGCGGCCUAUUAAGUCAGGGGUGAAAGACGGUAGCUUAACUAUCGCAGUGCCUUUGAUACUGAUGGGCUUGAAUGUACUUGAGGUAGGCGGAAUGUGACAAGUAGCGGUGAAAUGCAUAGAUAUGUCACAGAACACCAAUUGCGAAGGCAGCUUACUAAAGUAUGAUUGACGCUGAGGUACGAAAGCGUGGGGAUCAAACAGG